UCGUGGCCCGAUCGAAGCUGAACGCAGUCAAAUACUGUGUGUCAGUCAAAGCGCGGCCGAAAUUAUACGUUUGUCGUUAUGGUCGCACGAUGGUGCUGUUUACACCGUUGUGCAUUACCCACGACAAAAACAACG